rnacentral:rRNA from 1 species
UGACUGGGGCGGUCGCCUCCUAAAAGGUAACGGAGGCGCUCAAAGGUUCCCUCAGAAUGGUUGGAAAUCAUUCAUAGAGUGUAAAGGCAUAAGGGAGCUUGACUGCGAGACCUACAAGUCGAGCAGGGUCGAAAGACGGACUUAGUGAUCCGGUGGUUCCGCAUGGAAGGGCCAUCGCUCAACGGAUAAAAGCUACCCCGGGGAUAACAGGCUUAUCUCCCCCAAGAGUUCACAUCGACGGGGAGGUUUGGCACCUCGAUGUCGGCUCAUCGCAUCCUGGGGCUGUAGUCGGUCCCAAGGGUUGGGCUGUUCGCCCAUUAAAGCGGUACGCGAGCUGGGUUCAGAACGUCGUGAGACAGUUCGGUCCCUAUCCGUCGUGGGCGUAGGAAAUUUGAGAGGAGCUGUCCUUAGUACGAGAGGACCGGGAUGGACAUACCUCUGGUGUACCAGUUGUCGUGCCAACGGCAUAGCUGGGUAGCUAUGUGUGGACGGGAUAAGUGCUGAAAGCAUCUAAGCAUGAAGCCCCCCUCAAGAUGAGAUUUCCCAACUUCGGUUAUAAGAUCCCUCAA